GACGAACGCUGGCGGCGUGCUUAACACAUGCAGGUCGAACGGAAAGGCCCUGCUUUUGUGGGGUGCUCGAGUGGCGAACGGGUGAGUAACACGUGAGUAACCUGCCCUUGACUUUGGGAUAACUUCAGGAAACUGGGGCUAAUACCGGAUAGGAGCUCCUGCUGCAUGGUGGGGGUUGGAAAGUUUCGGCGGUUGGGGAUGGACUCGCGGCUUAUCAGCUUGUUGGUGGGGUAGUGGCUUACCAAGGCUUUGACGGGUAGCCGGCCUGAGAGGGUGACCGGCCACAUUGGGACUGAGAUACGGCCCAGACUCCUACGGGAGGCAGCAGUGGGGAAUAUUGCACAAUGGGCGGAAGCCUGAUGUAGCAACGCCGCGUGCGGGAUGACGGCCUUCGGGUUGUAAACCGCUUUCGCCUGUGACGAAGCGUGAGUGACGGUAAUGGGUAAAGAAGCACCGGCUAACUACGUG
rnacentral:rRNA from 1 species